CGGUAAUACGGAGGAUCCGAGCGUUAUCCGGAUUUAUUGGGUUUAAAGGGUGCGCAGGCGGGAGAUUAAGUCGGCGGUGAAAUUUUGCAGCUCAACUGUAAAAGUGCCUUCGAAACUGGUUUUCUUGAGUGUAGAUGAAGUAGGCGGAAUUUGUGGUGUAGCGGUGAAAUGCAUAGAUAUCACGAGGAACUCCGAUUGCGCAGGCAGCUUACUAAACUACUACUGACGCUCAUGCACGAAGGCGUGGGGAUCAAACAGGAUUAGAUACCCUGGUAGUCCACGCAGUAAACGAUGAUUACUAGCUGUUUGCGAUACACAGUAAGCGGCUGAGCGAAAGCGUUAAGUAAUCCACCUGGGGAGUACGUUCGCAAGAAUGAAACUCAAAGGAAUUGACGGGGGCCCGCACAAGCGGAGGAACAUGUGGUUUAAUUCGAUGAUACGCGAGGAACCUUACCCGGGCUUGAAAUGCAUCUGACGUGGGCAGAGACGCCCAUUCCCCUCGGGGCAGAUGUGUAGGUGCUGCAUGGUUGUCGUCAGCUCGUGCCGUGAGGUGUCGGCUUAAGUGCCAUAACGAGCGCAACCCUCAUCAUUAGUUACCAUCAGGUGAAGCUGGGGACUCUAAUGAGACUGCCAUCGUAAGAUGCGAGGAAGGUGGGGAUGACGUCAAAUCAGCACGGCCCUUACGUCCGGGGCGACACACGUGUUACAAUGGGUGGUACAAAGGGCAGCUACAUGGCGACAUGAUGCUAAUCUCCAAAACCACUCUCAGUUCGGAUCGGAGUCUGCAACUCGACUCCGUGAAGCUGGAUUCGCUAGUAAUCGCGCAUCAGCCACGGCGCGGUGAAUACGUUCCCGGGCCUUGUACACACCGCCCGUCAAGCCAUGGAAGCCGGGGGUACCUGAAGUCCGUAACCGUCAAGGAGCGGCCUAGGGUAAAACUGGUGACUGGGGCUAAGUCGUAACAAGGUAGCCGUACCGGAAGGUGCGGCUG
rnacentral:rRNA from 1 species